ACCAGGGGGAGGCCUUCUCAAUUCUCACGCACGGUUUGCAGAAGCGGAGGGAAGAAGGGCGACCACUGGACCUCAAAAUGCCCCUACAAGGAUCUUGCUCCAUAUCACGGCGAGUGCUCUGCCGACAGGCCUCCUAGCGUCCGACGGCUCUGGGACGCAAGGCGGCAAGGGCAGUGCAAGUGGAGCAUACGUUCCUGUGUUCGUCAAGAGGCUGGGUGGCUACAGAAGUGGAGCGGACGUGAUGAGGCGUAGGAACGACGAGAACUCGGUCCGCGUGAGCAACCUCUCGGAGGACGCCCGCGACCCCGACCGGCCGACCCCGACCUCUCGGCCAUCUGAGCCGCGUCUAUGUGGCAAUGCACCGGGUGACUGGCGCGAGCAGGGGGUUUGGCUUCGUCAACUUUGUUCACAGGGAGGACGGCGAGAGGGCUAUCAGGAAGCUCAAUAACCUCUGUUGCGAAACAUUCACAUGUGAUCAAACCCAUCCGAUGGGUUACUACCCAAGGGUCGCACCCUUUGGGGAAGUACCCCUGCAGUCUGUAUAUAAUCAAAUGUUCCCCUGCAAUAAAGAUUUACAACUGUCACUUUCUCUCUACAUUUUCGUGUCUCGUUACCACUGAGUAUACUAUAACACGUUAUCAGCACUUUGGUUCUCCACCGAGCGGUUCUCCCCAACGCUGUCUCUGGCUAGGCUUCGCCUGGCGCUAUCCUUCCGGGUGCGUGUGGCGUUCCGCGCGGCGGCGAUGCGGCGGUCUGUGGCGGCGCACUCGGAUAUGAGCCCGUCGCUGAUGAUUUGCCGUAGCACGGGCGUGACGCUGUUGCGUCGUGUCCCUCCGCACGGCAAGAACGCAUCCUGCAGCGACCGCGAAGGCGCUCUCUCGCAAGUCGCCUACGGCCACGGCCACCUGCUAUCCGUGGUGGGAACUGGCGGUGCCUGUGACGGCCUCCGGGCCUCGUCGGCGAGGGACCCCGCCAGGCACGAAUUUUCGUGUAGGGAUGGGACAGCGGGACAGCAGCAUCCUGGCCACACCGUCGUACCAUGAUCCGGUACCUGACAUCGUUUUUUUUUAACACAAAUGCUCUUCGUUGUCCUAUUCUUGGAACUACAAGAAUUUUGAUGAGGAUAGCAAACUCCAUCUAGACAAUACGAUAUUAUUAUGUAUGUUUUUAUGCAUAGUUCGAAACAUACAUUGAUUAUUGCCUUGUUCA